rnacentral:rRNA from 1 species
UGCCUCAUACAUGCAAGUCGAACGAGGUUUUCGGACCUAGUGGCGCACGGGUGAGUAACAUGUGGGAAUCUACCUGAAGGUUCGGAAUAACUACGGGAAACUGUAGCUAAUACCGGAUGUGUCUGCAAAGAGAAAGAUUUAUCGCCUUCAGAUGAGCCCGCACUAGAUUAGCUAGUUGGUGAGGUAAUUGCUCCACCAAGGCUACGAUCUAUAGCUGAUUUGAGAGGAUGAUCAGCCACACUGGGACUGAGACACGGCCCAGACUCCUACGGGAGGCAGCAGUAGGGAAUAUUGGACAAUGGGGGAAACCCUGAUCCAGCAAUGCCGCGUGAGUGAAGAAGGCCUUCGGGUUGUAAAACUCUUUCAUCAACGAUGAUAAUGACAUUAAUUGAAGAAGAAGCUCCGGCUAACUUCGUGCCAGCAGCCGCGGUAAUACGAAGGGGGCUAGCGUUGUUCGGAAUCACUGGGCGUAAAGCGUAUGUAGGCGGAUCAAAAAGUUAGAUGUGAAAUCCCUGGGCUCAACCCAGGAACUGCAUUUAAAACUAGUGAUCUAGAAAUUGGUAAAGGUUAGUAGAAUUUCCAGUGUAGAGGUGAAAUUCGUAGAUAUUGGAAAGAAUACCAGAAGCGAAGGCGACUAACUAGGCCAUUUUUGACGCUGAGAUACGAAAGCGUGGGUAGCAAACAGGAUUAGAUACCCUGGUAGUCCACGCAGUAAACGAUGAGUGCUAGUCGCUGGGACAAUAGUUUCAGUGUCGUAGCUAACGCAUUAAGCACUCCGCCUGGGAAGUAC